UACGAAGGGGCUAGCGUUGUUCGGAAUUACUGGGCGUAAAGCGCACGUAGGCGGAUACUUAAGUCAGGGGUGAAAUCCCGGGGCUCAACCCCGGAACUGCCUUUGAUACUGGGUAUCUCGAGUCCGGAAGAGGUGAGUGGAAUUCCGAGUGUAGAGGUGAAAAUUCGUAGAUAUUCGGAGGAACACCAGUGGCGAAGGGCGAACUCACUGGCCCGAUACGUGACGCUGAGG
rnacentral:rRNA from 1 species